rnacentral:rRNA from 1 species
GGAAGUAAAAAUCGUAACAAGGUUUCCGUAGGUGAACCUGCGGAAGGAUCAUUAAUGAAACUGCGUCGGUUUCGGCUGCUGCUGGGCUCCCCCGCGAGUCACCGUGCACGCCGUCUCUCUUCUCAUUCAUUCGUCUAACCCCUUCUACGUGCACUCUCCCGUAGGGCCAGGCGCGAGCCUGGUCCUAUGUCUCAUCUGUAUACCCCGCGAACUACCGGUGAAUGUAAUCUUAGCUCGAGCUUGUCUCGACUCUAAAAUUGUACAACUUUCAGCAACGGAUCUCUUGGCUCUCGCAUCGAUGAAGAACGCAGCGAAAUGCGAUAAGUAAUGUGAAUUGCAGAAUUCAGUGAAUCAUCGAAUCUUUGAACGCACCUUGCGCCCCUUGGUACUCCGAGGGGCAUGCCCGUUUGAGUGUCGUUGAACUUGUCAGCCCAGAAAAGGGGGGUGAAGGGUCUCGUCUCUUCUUCCCCCCUGGCCUGGCAGCCUGGACUUUGGAGCUCGCGGGAGAGAAUCCGGAAAGGCUGGCGCCCGACCGGCUCUUCUUCUGCCUCUCUUGAAAUGCAUCGGCAGAUGUUUUGCUCUGCGGGGAACUCCGGCGCGGCGAGUGAUAACUUAUCUUUCUCUGCCUGCCUGGAAGGAAUCGCGUGCUUGCGAACUCUGCCUCGAAUCGUGUCUGACCUUGCGCGACGACCUCUGACGAUUUGACCUCAAAUCAGGCA